UACGUAGGUGGCAAGCGUUGUCCGGAAUUAUUGGGCGUAAAGCGCGCGCAGGCGGCCUCUUAAGUCUGAUGUGAAAGCCCCCGGCUCGAACCGGGGCAGGCCUUGGAAACUGGGAGGCUUGAGUAUAGGAGAGAAGAGUGGAAUUCCACGUGUAGCGGUGAAAUGCGUAGAGAUGUGGAGGAACACCAGUGGCGAAGGCGACUCUUUGGCCUAUAACUGACGCUGAGGCGCGAAAGCGUGGGGAGCAAACAGG
rnacentral:rRNA from 1 species